CCAAUAGCGUAUAUUAAAGUUGUUGCAGUUAAAAAGCUCGUAGUUGAAUUUCGGGAUUGACACAUCGGUCGUGCCUUAAGGGGUAUGAACUGGUGUAGUCAAUUUCUCACCUUCUGGAGAACCGCAAUGCCCUUAAUUGGGUGUCGCGGGGAACCAGGACCUUUACUUUGAAAAAAUUAGAGUGUUUAAAGCAGGCAUUUUGCUUGAAUACAUUAGCAUGGAAUAAUAAAAUAGGACGGAUGAUUCUAUUUUGUUGGUUUCUAGGACCACCGUAAUGAUUAAUAGGGAUAGUUGGGGGCAUUAGUAUUCAAUUGUCAGAGGUGAAAUUCUUGGAUUGAUUGAAGACUAACUACUGCGAAAGCAUUUGCCAAGGAUGUUUUCAUUAAUCAAGAACGAAAGUUAGGGGAUCGAAGACGAUCAGAUACCGUCGUAGUCUUAACCAUAAACUAUGCCGACUAGGAAUCAGACGAUGUUAAUUUUUUAAUGACUCGUUUGGCACCUUACG
rnacentral:misc_RNA from 1 species